ensembl:lncRNA
AAAGAAAUUCAGUCUUUCAGAGCUGUGCAUCUUUAAUUCCCUUUGAUCUUUUGCUCAGUAUUUGAUUAAAUGUUUGGAUGUAGGCUGAAUCAGAGGCAGUUCAUAAUAACUGUGUAUUACUGCUAUGUGGUUCAAUCUACCUCUGUAAUCUUGCAUACCAGGAUAUAAGGACUUGGCGGUGGUUUCAUUCAUAAAUGAGAGGAUAUAUAAGGGGUAACUGUAAGUUUGGACAUGCUGAGACAUGCUGGACAAGAGACAGCAUGUAUGUACCUUCUCAUGUUGCUGCUGGCCUACGGGCUUCUUUGGUGGUCCAUUAAAGGCUAAGGGCAUGCUUUUAAAGGUGCUAGAAAGCACCAUGUGGGAGUUUUCACAGACCUGGACAAACAAGUAUCAGUGUGAUCUGAACACAGGAGUAAUUUUGCUAAGAUUAUCACUGUCAGCUUUCAUGAUGAAAGAACCAAAGAGAACUGAAGUACAACUCCUACGCUGCUGAAGCAGUCAGUCAUGUAGUGUGGAAAAAAAGAAAAAAGCACCUGCCACUGGUGGCUACCUCGUUUUUAUAUCCAGCUUCUGCGGUUUUCUCAAGUGUUGAACACUACAAGAAAUUCUCUUAGAGGAACAGAUGUGCUGGAGAGAAGCAAUAAAUACUUUCAAAUUUGAGAGAGGAGCAGUGAGAUAGUUGACGAGAGAUGCAGUAGGACUUCUCCCCUCAUACUCCUCACCCAGAGAAUAAUACAAUGAAGACUUCACAGUUUUAUAUUCUGACUUAACCCUUCAGAAGUGAAAUGCCACACAAAAACAGAAUGUGAUUGUCAAGAGAAAAGCCAGUCUGAAAGGAAAUAACGUGCUGACUGAUCUUUAGCCUUUUUGAGGUGUGUGGAAAACUUGGACAGAAGAAGCUCCACUUUAUAGGGAUAACUUCAGACACAGAAUCACAGUAUGGUAUGGGUUGGAAAACUUUGCUCCUUUUGAAGGCUUCGAUGGAUACGCGGUCACCUCAGUCCCCAGGGCUUGCACAGCUGCUGGAAGUAACUGAUGGAUGAGCACCUGUUAGAAAGUGGAUCUAUCUGCACGAAUAAUCCUGGAUGUUUAGAUUGUGGUUGGAAGUUGGAGCUAACAGGGCAUCACAAGGCUCUGACAUCGCUCUGCCUACUCAGGACUCCUGUUUUCUGAGAUACCUGUGGCACCUUUAUCACAACUUCACCUUACAGCAGCCACCCUGCACCCUCUGCCAGGGGCUACUGAAGACAUUUCACCUAUGACGGAAUGAGCUCCCUUUUAGGUACAGAAAGGUCACUGUCAGGUCUCCCCAAAGCCUUACCUUCGCCAGGCUGAACAGCCCCAGGAAUCUCAGCCUGCCCACAUAGGAGAGGUGUUCCAACUCUUGGAUUUCUUUUGUGGCUCUCCUCUGGAUGUGCUCCAACAGGUCUGUGUCUCUCCUGUAUUGAGGACUCCACAUCAGGAUGCAAUACUCCAGUGCUCCUUUUCUGAGGACUAUGGGCUAAACUCCAUUAGUGAGCAAAGAUCACUAAAGCUCUGCCACUGAAGUCAGAGCUGCCUUCUGUCAGCAAAGCCAAGAGUUACUUGGAAUUGUAUGGAUGGGGAACAGGAUAGAUCCAGAUGACCUCCUUUGGAGUGUUUGGUGAGCUCUGACCUUCAGAAAAGGGUGGAUUGACCUAAGCCUGAGAACAUUAAGCUUCCCAUCCUUUCCAGAAGCAAAGGUGUAUUCCAACAGUUCAGACCACUUCAGCUAUUCUUGCAUGAAGAAUGUGCUGAAGAUUAUUUCAUCCUGAAUUUUGUUGUGAUCUAGAAACAUGGAGAAAGAACUACAAGAACAACCACGUUUCUUUUCAGUGAUGUCCUUGUGUAACAUGGAGCUUUUAUUUUAACUUGAAAAUUCAUUCAGGCAUGAUUUAGGGUUAUUGAAGUAGUAAGAUCUGCUAGAAGACAAUGGAAGCAAAAAGAAGAAAUUAGAGCAGAAGAAAAUGAGGAACAGAGAAUGUGGAAAAAUUCCAGGAAUGAGAAAGAGACAGAAAACACAGAAGAAAGGCGGUAUAGACAGAAAAGAAAACUGUCUUUAACUAUUAUUGAGCAGGUUUAUGCAGUCUGAGACAGUGAUACAAAUAGCUACUCAGAUUCUGCAGUGUGUACGCUGGGUGAUAUAUGUUAACCUGAUAUACAGUCUGGUGAAUUUUGCAUACCUUUGAAGUCCACAGAGAAAAACUAUUAAAUUACUGUGACUUCUUUGAUAUACGAUAUUUCAUUAAUGGAAACUGAGAAUCCAAACAAAUGGAAGAUCAAGUGGUCCAUAACUAAAUGGAGCACUACAGAAGGAUAAAAUGAACCAGACUGGGCUGGAGGGAUUAUAUGCUGACAUAUGGAAAGUGGUGCAGAUGGAUUUCCUCAAGAUUAAAUAAGACAACUAAUAGUGUAGACCUUUGCCACCAGGCUAACUUGCAAAUUCCUUCUUUCUGAAAUCUAAUUUGAUUAAAGCGAAAAGCUGAAAGGCAAUUCUGAUUUGCUAACACUUUGCAUGGCUCCCGUGAAAUCAUGUAAUCUGAAAUUUUUUGUGUUGCAUGUAGUAGAGGUUAUGACUUGCAGAUGCAUGAAAUUCUAUGCAUGUAAACAGUUCCAUUUUGUGGAAUUUUUUAAAAAUGUUGUUUAGCAGCUUUAGUUCUGUGGAUACUCUGACAUUUUACGAUACAUAGAUUGAGUUGGAAAGGGAAGGAGAGGAUCAUAAUGAAAGAUACUGUGGGGGUCAGCAAGAGUCUGUAAAACUCAUCUUGAGAUUCUCCUGAUCAUCUUGCUUGGAGUUACACUUUGUACUUGGUGCUGUGUUAUCAGGGAUGUGAAUGGGAGCUGCAACUACAGAUCAUGGAACUGCUUGCAGAAUGGCAGUCUAGAAUUUGUGUUGAGAACACCCUUAACUUGUAUUUUCCUGGGUAGACCUGCCCACGUUCCCAGGUCAUUUGCUGAGUUGGAAGAAGAAAAGCAAAAAUAGGUACCUACACAUAGCUAAUCAACAUUUUCCCAUAGAAAGAAAUUUAAGUAUGCCACUGUAAGCUAAAGGAAGUUGGUACUUCUUUUAGAGGAAGCCCUCUAUGACAAUAUGAUAAACCCAUCCUUUGCUACCUGUUAUGAUAUCCAGUGCUUCAAUGCAGUAAAAAUUAUGUUGAUGAGAACUCUUCAUUAAGGGAAUCUACUGAGAAAACAGGUGUUAUCUGAAGUCUAGAAUGGACACGUACAAUGUGCCUGAUUCUCAAUAUGGGUGUCAAUUUAAAGUAAGGUUGAUUAAAGGGUCUCUUCCGAUACUAUUUUCAGUCCCAAGUCUGUACUUCAGUGACUGACUUCCAAAAUGCUUACUUGUUGCUUACUUGUUGUCUUUUCUUUCAGAUGUAGUUACAGGUGGCUGCCUUAGUGUGAAAUUCAUGUUGGCUAUUUCUUUGUCUCUGGUAUUUUCACCUCAGUAGUAGCUAGCAGAGUCUCCACAGCAUGUCUCAGUGUCCUCUAAUUCAUUCACACAAACAAUGUAAUGCUAGCAGGGCAGCACCUUGAUUGAGAUUAGGCUCCAUGACUGAAUGAUGUUUCUAUUGAAUUCGUACUAACGUCGCCUGCAAGAUUUAUUUUUCUGCCCUGCAAAAGAGUUGACCUUUGUGUGCCAUAUGAUUUUCUAUUCAGACUGCAAUAUAGUGCCAGAAGCUUCCUUAUUUCUGUUAAUAUCAAAUGUGCAUAAUACCCAUUUUUGGUCUUCAACUCAGCUACUACCUAGAGGUUGCAGCUCCUGAAAUUGUGCAGAAGUGUUAAUUUUGCCAAACUUCAGAGAAUAUGCACUAGGGCAAUAUUUUAUUAUUGUUAUUAUUAUUACUUUUAACACUGAAGUUGGAAUUUAAAUAAAUAAAAACUUAGGUUUAUCUGUCAAGCAAAAUGAAAGCCCAAGAUCUAUUACUGUUAAACUUAAUACUAGAGCUAAAGAAUAUUAUGCCACUGGUCAGGAAUAUGCCCUAAAAUCCAACAAUUUGGUGGUGAUUGACAAAUGAAGUAAAGCAAGAGGUGUGUUGUUGUUGUUUUUUUUUUGAAUCCUACAUGAUCUGUUGCAAAAAUUCUCAAGAUGUCUUUCUUCUGGACAUAAAUAUCUGACUUGAAGUUUUGGAAAAAAAAAACUCCUUUUCAUUACAUGUAAAAUUCAACAUGUGUCAAAUUGCUGUUCUUCCCCACCAGUUUUGCUAACAUUGUAAAUUCUUCUGUAGAACCUAUCAACAGCAGAGAUGAAUUUGGCAUUUCUUCUUUCUAGCAAAAGCUGCAUGUAUUUCUUUCAUCUGAGACCACCGAUUGCUGAUGUGUUUAGUUUUGCUUGUUCUUUUUUGCAGUAUUCCUUUGCUUUUUCCAUUAAUUAAGAUACUAUAUAAAUGCAUAUUGUACUGAUAAACCUUAAAUCAACUCUUCUAACAUGUUUGUAUGGAAAAUACUGUGAUGAGAAAGCAUGAAUUCUUCAUUUAGUGUUGGCCUUCACUGCAUUGCAGCACUGUGUUCUAACAAAUGGGUUCGUACACCCCCAGGUACCUUCUGUAACUCCUUCCUCCGUUUCUUCUAGUGCAACACUUAGACAAGACAACACCUAAGUAAAAGUUACAGCAAAGUCUAUAGUUUUCAGGACAAGGCAAUUAUUUGUCGUAUUUUCAAAGUUGGUUGUGCUUGUCAUCAAUUGUUUCUCUAGGUGGUGUGUGAUGGCCAUGUAGGAGGAAGGACAUGAGAGUGAAGCCUUCACAGGUGAAGUGAGGUUUCUUUUUUACCUUUAAAGGAGAGUAGCACCAGGCUGUGCCUUCCUGCCCUUUAACAGACACAAAACAUAAGUAGUUAUAUAUUCCUCUUGUCCUCAAAACUCAUAUGGCUUUACGUAGUUCCCCUCCUUUUCUGUAGUUUAACUGUAUUUUUUGUCUCUUGGCUGAAGGAACAUUAAGGAUCACUGGGAAUCUGAGUCCCCUUUGCCUGGUCCUCAGCACAGCAGUGCUUGAGUACUCAGCAGGUUUUCUCCUACCAGCUAUAGAGGAAGAAAUACUCAAGGCUGCAGGAAGUUAUGUUUCCAGAAAGACAAGAUAAAUGAAAGAUUGCAAACAUCACAACAGACAUUCACUAGGUCUGAACUGUGUCAGUACUGGAUAUAGGAUGCAAACUCUAUUUUGGAAGAAGGGAAGGCUUCCAGGGAAAGGGAGAGGUAAUACUAAUAGAGGAAAAAGAUGUUUCUCUCUGAGAUGAGGGGAGAAGGAAGUGAAGGUUAAGUUGUAGACAUUAGCCCUUUCUUCUUUACAAUGAAAUAAUGUUUCUUGUUUUAAAGUGUUGCCUUCAAUGCUGUUGAAUGCUACUUCCUCUGCAGGCCAGGGAGACAUUGACCAAUGUCCUCUCCCGAACUCCUCACAUCAGAUAGCUGUCAGCAGUAUCUCCAUUUCCCAAGUUGUUUGACAACUCUAUGGGCUUAAAAGAAAGUCAGACUCACAUGGUGAAGAAGCAAUAUUAUGAAUUAAUUGAUGGUUUGUGACUUAAGGUUUGUGAGAUGAAAAUCAAGGUGAAAUACAGGCAGGAUCUAAGCUGUGCUAAAGAUGCUGAGGUAUUGAGCUUGUCAGAGGGAGUCAGCAUAGUUCGCAUAAACAAUAGGGAGUGCCAGCAUGCUGAGAGAACCUGAGGCAUGGAAAAAAUGAUUAACAUCAUGUUGUAGAGGCAGACUGUGUUAAGAAGAUACAAUUGUAUUUUUUAAUGCUUGCAUGGAAUAAUUAAUGGAAAAACUGAGGCAGAGAAGCGGGUGGCUUGACUAGGAUGUCACCACAAAUAAUUUCAGAAUCAAGACCACUUCUACAAAGUGAAGCUUAAGGAAGUAGAGGUCUUUUUUAAUCUGCACAUAUUUGAAUUUAGGAAAAUUGUUCAAAAUUACACCUGGAGUGCAAGAGUUAAAUCUAAUGCUGGGAAUGUCUGCUCACGAAUAUUUGUCAUCACUCAGAAUAACACUAGUUUGAGUAGUUGGCUGCUUUCUGUUGCUUUGUUUGGCUGUAAAGCAGAAGGAUUGGAACAGUGAAAUAGAUAUUUUAACACAUACACAGGCAAAAUUCCAUUUGUUUUUUCAUCCAAAACAAGUGGCCUUUUAGCUGUUGUGAUAAGUCAAAAAUCUAGAUAUUUUCCUCAAUUUUAACAGGAACUAGAGGUAAAGAUCUUUUAGGCCAAAUAUUCAAAAUGGUCUUACACCAUCUUAAUUUUUUUGAUUUAAUAUGGUUAUUUUGGUUAUCUUGCUGUCCUCAGAAUAACUGAUUAUCCUUCCUUUUGGACAAGAGGCCAAAUGAGUGAAGUUCUACGUUUAAGUUGUAUGACUUAAAAUUACCUAGGGGGUAACUAAUGUAGAAAUAGUAGAAAGUAGGUAAACAUCUUGAAUACAAUGGAGCUGCUGCCAACACACAGCCAGAGACCAGAUUAAGAAUCAAAAUUUCAGAAGUAAGUAUGAGGGAAGAUGUGUCCAUAUAACAGGAUGAUUUAUUUUUGCUAUUAUGUUUUGUUUCUCUUCUAGGCCUCCACAGAAAACUGCUUUGUGGUCUUUCCGUAUGGCAUCACAGAAAAAGGAGUCAAGCUGAAGCACAGAUACAGGACUCACAUUUAGACAGGCACCAAUUUAAUGCCUCUUGCUGUGAUCACUGUUUUUGAGAAACAAGCUGACGUUAUUCAUGAAACAAGACAUUUAAAAGUGAGACACAAAAUAAGACAUCUAAAUUGAUGAAAUAUUUAUUCUUCCAAUGUUCUAGGGAAAUUGUUUUUCCACCAUGCAUGUGCUUAGCCUGCUCUUUUAUUUUCCACUUUAUGCUGAUGUGGCAGGGGGGAAAAGUUAUGAACCUAUAUAGAUCAUGGCAUUUAAAAAAAGAAAAACACCACCACCACAACAACAAAACACCAAACACUGCUAAAAAUGAUAUUGCAAUCUUGGGUGUUAGAUUAGAGAGUAAGUAAUUGAUGAAACAAUUAAUAUAGGAGAGUGAUGGUGAAAGGUAAUCAGAGAAGAAAAAAUAUGGAAUAAUUUUCAAUUCUUGUGACACAUUAUUUAAACUCAAAUUAUCUUGAGGCAAAAUUGUUCUUGUGAUUCUAAUAAUAAAUAUUCAGAUCAAACUGUAAAUAACUAAAAAUAAGAUAAUCUGUCUUUUUGUGUGUUUGAGAAUGAACGACUCAGCAUUUGAGUUAGACCUACACUAUUUAAAACCAGGCUCUGUUCUGGAGUGCUAAUAAAAUCUUUCUUCUGUAUGUUGUUUGGAAAAGGACACGUGAAAUGGGUAUUUCAAUGUCUUAAAAUAUAUAUAUGUGUGUGUAUUUGUGCCAGCGUAUUAAGUGAGAAAAAUAUACCAAAACAAGAUUCUGGGAACAGCCAGCAAAUGCAAGUUUGCUUAUGCAGAGAACUUUUAUGUAGUGGAAUCUUAUCAGGAUGAAAACAAUGGAUUAAUUUAUUUCUCUGUUUAUGAUGGUGUGAACAUAGACAAACCUUAAGUAGGUUGUGUCCGAUCUACAUGUCAUCCUCUGAUACAAGUUGGGGACAGCAAAGAUGAAGAUGGAUCGAUUUGAUUUGAGAUUACGUUAAAUGAAGAGCUGAAAAAAACUGCAAAACAAAGAACAAAAUGCUGCUUUUCAUUUACAUACUGGAGGUAUGAAAUUGGUAAUUUAAUAGGGUUUUAUGAGAUAUGUUUCAACAGAUAAGCAGGUAAGUAUAUAUUAAACUGAAAUAUUCCAUGGAAAUUCAUGAACUUUGACCUAUCUUCUGAAAAAAUAUUUAAUUAAUUUUAAUUGAUUUUCGCACAACCAAACUCUUCAUUAAAAAAAAAAAAAAAUGGAAUGAGGGGAAAAUCUAAGAAGUCUGGGCAUUUCUAGUUCUUAUUCUGGC